CAUAUCAAUAAGCGGAGGAAAAGAAACCAACAGGGAUUGCCCCAGUAACGGCGAGUGAAGCGGCAACAGCUCAAAUUUGAAAUCUGGCCCUUUUGGGUCCGAGUUGUAAUUUGUAGAGGAUGCUUUUGGCAAGGUGCCGCCCGAGUUCCCUGGAACGGGACGCCACAGAGGGUGAGAGCCCCGUCUGGCUGGCCACCGAGCCUCUGUAAAGCUCCUUCGACGAGUCGAGUAGUUUGGGAAUGCUGCUCAAAAUGGGAGGUAUAUGUCUUCUAAAGCUAAAUAUUGGCCAGAGACCGAUAGCGCACAAGUAGAGUGAUCGAAAGAUGAAAAGCACCUUGAAAAGAGGGUUAAAUAGUACGUGAAAUUGUUGAAAGGGAAGCGCUUGUGACCAGACUUGGGCGCGGCGGAUCAUCCGGGGUUCUCCCCGGUGCACUUCGCCGUGUCCAGGCCAGCAUCAGUUCGUCGCGGGGGAAAAAGGCUUCGGGAACGUGGCUCCCCUGGGAGUGUUAUAGCCCGUUGCAUAAUACCCUGCGGUGGACUGAGGACCGCGCAUCUGCAAGGAUGCUGGCGUAAUGGUCACCAGCGACCCGUCUUGAAACACGGACC
rnacentral:rRNA from 1 species